GACGCUUGUCGCACUUUUCAACCGUUUCUCACUUCUGUCUUCUUGAUUUAAGAGAGGCGGAGGCGGAGGCGACGCAAAAACACAACACGCAUUGUGAAGACCUGUUCCCGAAGAGAAAAGUCACCACGUAAAUGGAAAUGUCAGAAAGGUGAAGGUGGGAGGAAACUGGAAUACCCAGAGAAAACCCACGCGGUCAAGGGGAGAACAUGCAAAGUCCACACAGGAAGGCUGGGGCUGGACUCAAACCCCUCACCACUGCACUAAAAUCGAUCAAAGGAUCUCCACUGCGGCCCGCGGACUGCCAGUUGUCCUUCCCUGUGAUAAAUGCAUGAAGGGUUCAUUUGCUCUCAAGUAGCACUGCAUUACGAUGCAAUCACAUGUCAAUGGUAGAUUGGUUGUGAGAAGACACAAAGACACACAAAUCUGCAAACAGCAAAGAGAAAUAUUAAAUAAAAAGAGACAGUUCCUUCUCGGUUGUCUGCACGGGAAGCAAGACCACAACCACAAAGGCCCAGCAUGCACCUGGCUACAGUCGCUCCCAGUGAGCAUGCGUGCAGGCACACAUACUCAUCCACCUACCCCCCACCCCCACACACAUACACACACACACACACACGCGCACGCACGCAC